UGAGCAGGGCGAGCACCGCCACUCCUCACCUCCCUCGCUUGAUUCUUGCAGUUCACGAGCACGACAGCUAGGAGUGCAGAUAAAAUGUCGUUGCAGGUUAGUUGUGGUCGUUGGUGCAGUUCCCCGGCGUGUGGGGGUUCGGUUUAAGUCAUGCUACGCUGCAGUGUGGAUGCGUGUGGGCAUGUAUUUCACUUGGUGUGGGCAGGAGGUUCUGCAGCUGUCGCAUUGCAUUUCGCCGGAGGAAACAACAAUUCGGUUCAGAAACCGACGUGGUUAAAUUUUUUU
rnacentral:rRNA from 1 species